GACGAACGCUGGCGGCGUGCUUAACACAUGCAAGUCGAACGGAAAGGCCCUGCUUUUGUGGGGUGCUCGAGUGGCGAACGGGUGAGUAACACGUGAGUAACCUGCCCUUGACUUUGGGAUAACUUCAGGAAACUGGGGCUAAUACCGGAUAGGAGCUCCUGCUGCAUGGUGGGGGUUGGAAAGUUUCGGCGGUUGGGGAUGGACUCGCGGCUUAUCAGCUUGUUGGUGGGGUAGUGGCUUACCAAGGCUUUGACGGGUAGCCGGCCUGGGAGGGUGACCGGCCACCUUGGGACUGAGAUACGGCGCAGACUCCUACGGGAGGCAGCAGUGGGGAAUAUUGCCCAAUGGGCGGAAGCCUGAUGCAGCAACGCCGCGUGCGUGAUGACGGCCUUCGGGUUGUAAACCGCUUUCGCCUGUGACGAAGCGUGAGUGACGGUAAUGGGUAAAGAAGCACCGGCUAACUACGUG
rnacentral:rRNA from 1 species